rnacentral:rRNA from 1 species
AGAGUUUGAUCCUGGCUCAGAUUGAACGCUGGCGGCCGGCCUUACACCUGCAAGUCGAACGAUAACAGGAAGUGCUUGCUUCUUUGAUGUGGUUGGCUAACGGGUUGUUAUCGUCUAGGAAACUGCGUGAUGGAGGGGGAUGACUACUGGGAACGGUAACUAAUACCGCAUAACGUCCCAAGACCAAAGAGGGGGACCUUCCGACCUCUUGCCAUCGAAUGUGCCCCUAUGGGAUUAGCUAGUACGUGGGGUAACGGCUCACCUAGGCGACGAUCCCUAGCUGGUCUGAGAGGAUGACCAGCCACACUGGAACUGACACACGGUCCAAACUCCUACGAUGACUUGCCGUGGGGAAUAUUGCACUCUGGGCGCAAGCCUGAUGCUCCUUGCCGCGUGUAUGAAGACCGCCUUCGGGUUGUAAAGUACUUUCCGCGCGUAGCAAGGCAGUAAAGUUAAUACCUUUGCUCAUUGACAUUACCCGCAUAAGAAACCUGUCUAACUCCGUGCCAGCAGCCGCUGUAAUACUGAGGGUGUCAGCGUUUAUCGAAUUACUGGACGUACUUCGCACGCAAGCGGAUUGAUCAGUCAGAUGUGACAUCUGUGGGCUCCCCUGGGAUCUGCAUCUGAUACUAGCUUGCUUGCGUCCCCCCAGGGGGUAAAUUACGCGUGUAGCGCUGAAGUGCCGUACACAUCUGCACGACACCGGUGCGAUGCUNUACCCUGGGACACAAACUGACNCUCAAGUGCUGAUGCUNCGCAGCUAUACGACUUGAUCCNNGCUAUCUCCNNCGGNCCCAUUCCCANNGAGGUCUGCNAUGAUGCCUGNUCCGGACUACCGNAAUCNACCGCNGNNNNNNNNNUAG